UGGGGCGGGGAGGAGGUGCAGGGCCUGGCCAGAGCGGGCCUGGCCACGGGCAAGGGACAGCGACCCCCGGGCCAGGACAGGUGAGAGCGGCGCAGGCCCGGGCCCGGCGUGGCGGAGGUGCGCGUGAGCGGCCAGCAGAGGGCGCCAGAGAGCCAGGAGCGGCCCGCAGAGGAGCCCGCGCCGGCCCCGGUGCCCACCUCCGCGCCGCGCGGACCCUCCGAGCCCGCGCUCAGACGCCCCAGCUCCGCCGAGAGGCCGCUUGCGCCGGGUCCUUCUUCCCCAAAUGCAGGCAGAGCCCCCGGAGCCAUGGCCAGCCCUUCCGGCAGCUCCAAAGCCACUGGCAAGCCCCGAGGCAGGGAUGGCCGGCCCAGGAGGGAGGAGGACGACGUCCCUCCCGAAGAGAAGAGGCUGCGGCUCUUGCUGGAGGGGGGAAGCGCACAGCCCCAGGACUGCGAGGACGGGGAGGACGCGCCGCGGCCGGGCAGGGAGGAGACCGGCACCCAGACAGGUGGCGACGGCAGAGGAUGAUGUUUUGUUCUGGGGUGCAUCACAAGAGACAAGGUUCUUGGCCGGGCAUGGUGGCUCAAGCCAAUAAUCCCAGCACUUUGAGAGGCCGAAG
rnacentral:lncRNA from 1 species